CUGCUGUGUGUCCAUGAUGGUUUUUAACAGGAAGGAAAGUGCGGCUGAAUCUGAACCAUGAAACGAAGCUGGUUGUUUUUGCCUCGGCGCUGCUUCCUAACCGUUCUCAUCUCUCCGCGUGAGGAAAACACCACAUGAUGGUGAAAUGUCCGAGUUGGACUUUAUUUGCAUUUCCUGCUCAUGCUUCACACAAUGCUGCCUUUAUCACUGUGUUUCUUAAAUUAAAAAUAGGGGUGGGGGGAAUCGGCAGAAGGCCUUUGGAUUAAAUCAAAGAAUUGAGUGUCUUGACUAAAACGGCGCCCCCCUGUGGACAUUCUGACUCAUUCCAUUUAGAGUAACAGGCCUUUGCAGCAUCCUGCACCAUGUGUGUGAACUGGGACACAGAGUUGGGAUGAGGUCAGAUCAGAAUGAGGAAAUAAUUCUGUUUACAGACGUAUUAAAUCUCAGGAGUGAGGAGCUCACCAGUUGCCAAGACGAUCGGGGUUUCCAGGGAGAGUUUCGGUUGUUUUGGGUUUUUUAACACCUAAUUUAUGUUCGCUGCAGGCAUGACAAUAAAAACCAGCUGCUGGGUUUUUAGUGACCCCUAAUCACUGGAAAGAGGCGCAGCCGUGCUGCAGGGAUAGAGAGCGGGACACGUGUGUGGAAGCCUCGCCCUCCACGCAGCUGUCACAGGUUUGAUUACUGGCCUGUUGACCUUUACCCUCUCUCAUAACCCACUUUUCUGUCCAUUCCCUAUCAAAUGACGGCCACUAAAGCAA